AACGAACGCUGGCGGCAGGCUUAACACAUGCAAGUCGAGCGCCUCGCAAGAGGAGCGGCAGCCGGGUGAGUACCGCGUGGGAACGUACCCGUAUCUUCGGAAUAGCUCUGGGAAACUGGAAGUACUACCGAAUGUGCCCUUAGGGGGAAAGAUUUAUCGGAUAAGGAGCGGCCCGCGUUGGAUUAGCUAGUUGGUGGGGUAAAGGCCUACCAAGGCGACGAUCCAUAGCUGGUCUGAGAGGAUGAUCAGCCACAUUGGGACUGAGACACGGCCCAAACUCCUACGGGAGGCAGCAGUGGGGAAUAGUGGACAGUGGGCGCAAGCCUGAUCCAGCCAUGCCGCGUGAGUGAUGAAGGCCUUAGGGUUGUAAAGCUCUUUCAACGGAGAAGAUAAUGACGGUAUCCGGAGAAGAAGCCCCGGCUAACUUCGUG
rnacentral:rRNA from 1 species